CAACCUUCACCGUGCCCCCCCGCCUCCCUGUGCCGGGGGUCCCGUUCCUAGCGCAGAGCCCCCCCCCCCCCCGCCGCGUUUUGACCUCGUUGACCUGCGAACAGAAGUUGGCCGCGGUUUUUUUGGUUUUUGGGGUUUUUUUUGUUGGUGUUUUUUUUUUUUUUUUUUUGUGGGCCGUGGGACUUCUGCCCCCCGCCCCGGCCCCUAGCUUUGCAUAACUUGUCUCCCGAGUUGACUGUCCCUUCCUCCCUGCACUUUGCCCUUGCCCGGUGGUCUGUAGCGUAAGGGAGUAAAACUAUUCAAGGGCUGUUUUUUGUUUCUCUAGUGAGAGAGCUGGAUCACAAACAAGGCAAACUACCUAAUUUUUUAUCUCUCUCUCUCUCUCUCCUUUUUUCCCCACAGCAGCCCAGCACUGAAGUAGGAUUCUGUCAUAGUAUAGAACAAGGGCCUUGGGCGUGAUUUUUUUUUUUUUUUUUUUUUUAGAAAACCCUGGAGUGAAGCUGCUAUUAGCAUGUAGAGUUUGCAUGCCACAGGCAGUCUGUUGUCUCUUCACGCUCAAAGAAUAAUUUAGAGGAGCAGCAAUGACUCAUUAACAGAAAGUAUUAGUUGCAUGAAGGCAAAACCAGGUGAAGUUUCCUACUUUACCACAGACUUACUCUGUGACCUUGGAUCAGUCUUUCCGCAUCAGUCCUCUGUUUGCUUAUGAAUCAGGAAUAGUGGUGCUUUCCAAAAACGUACUGUGAAUAAAUAUACUAAUGACUGUGAAAUGCUUAUCUGCUUUAGUAAUAACAGGCAGAUAUCAAUAUUAUUUCUACUAUAGAAGCAUAGAGGCUCUAGCCAAGAUGCGAGUGGUUUGCUUGCAGAAUUUUCCUGUAGUAGCUACACUUUGAUGAAAAUAGGCACUUGUUUAAAAAGAUGUUUAAUAACCUGUGUCGUCAUCUUACACUUCAUAUUUUUAUGGACAGUGUGCACUGAUAUGCUUUCAAAGAACAGCCAUUCCACAGUGCAAACAGUUUGUGGGUGUGUUUUCCCCUCCUCUUUGCCUAGAACAAAGCUGGUGUCCUCUUCCACUGCUAAGGAAACCUUGUGAAUUUCUAAUGUGGCUGAUUAUCUCUGAUAGUUGGCAUCUCUGAGCUACAUGGUGUUAGAUUUGGUGUUUUGGUAGGGAACUGGAAAAGAGGUAUUCUGAUAUACUUGAUCUGAUAAAGAAAUUACUUCUGGUAUUGGUUUUUAACUUACUGUGAUACCAUUCAGUUGUACUUGCCACAGUUGGGUAGUUGCAUUAACUUGAUGCUAUCUCAGGGUGCCUCUGUAUUUGCAAGAAAAUACUAAAGGGAGUCACAGUAAGUUCAUUACAUGUGUAAUGACAGAUAAACUAAGUAGUUCAGUUUCAGGAACAGUAUUUUCCCUUUCACCUUGUAUGAUGCUCUCUAGAAAAUCAAAUGCCUUAAGUAUGUCAUAGGCAAAAACUUUGAUACAGGAAUCCUAGAACUGUGAAAGAAUUACCUGUCAUGGUUCACACACUGCUCUGAAGCGGUGUGCAGCCACUGCAGUAACAGGUGAAAGCAGCGAAGCACAGAGCUGGGAGUUGUUGCUGCUGCUGUGAAUACUGGCCUGCGUGAGCUAAGUUUUCCCUCUUUACAGUUUUGCUUUAUGCUAACUUGUGCAGCUAGAUUACUUGUGUGUGCCUUUUUUUUUUUUUUCCUUUUUAAAUCUAUUGUAGAAGAAUACACCAGGAAGAAGCACUAUCUGACUGAGAUCUUAGGGGCUUUUUUAAAGUAAUUUGAUCUGUAGGUUCUCACUUGUGUACUCAAGUUAAUAUGAAACUUCUAUAAUCAGUUUUAACAUUAAAUAGGAAAGCUUUUAUGAGUUGAGGAAGAGGCAAGCUCAACACAGUUGGGGUUGUUUGAUUUUUUUUUUUUUAAUUUUUUUUUUUUUUUUUUUUUUUCCUCCUUAACAAAACUGAAAGCUGCUCUGGUAAAAUGGCAAUUCAUUGUUAAUUCAUAAUAUGUAGGUGCCCUGGAAAAAUCAAAUACCUGGUUUCAUAGCUACCCUUAGGCGUCCUUAAUUUAUGCAAGCAGGGCUCACUGAGUAACUACUCUAAGUCUCAUUGACCUUAGUAGGUUUGCAGAGGUCAUAUUUUAAAACAGAUAAGUUGUGCCUGAACUAUUUUUUCAGUAAGUAUUAGGAACAAGUAUUUGUGUACAUAAUUACAUGCUUUUUCCCGUUCUCCAUUACGUUUUCUGUUUUUCUUUAGAUUCUAAGUGCUACAGUAAAUCUAGAGUCUUCUUGGAUUUUAUUUUAUCUCUGUUCUUAAUACUAGGAAGAAACAUGGGUUUUUGAAAACAAGCUCUUUUUCAAGAUCUCAGUAAAACAAAGCAAACUGUGAGGUUUUACAAACAGCUAGAAAGGCUAGUUUUAGGAUCAGAGAAACUUGGCUGGCGCAACCCAAACGUAUACGAGUGACAUCAGCAUUUUCCUGAGCCAUUUAUGCUAUUCACUUCUGUUGGUUCCCAGCAGUGCCUUGUGUCUUAUGUAAGCUUGCACUGUACAUCCUGUCCUGCUGUUCUCAUGCAUGAAAAUUCAUUGGCGUUAUCUUACUGUAGGGUUUGAGAGCUGAAUAGUUACUGGCUGCUUGUUGUCUCAAAUGUCUACAUGCAAAUUUCUUAUGAGCAUGCCGAAGAGAUCUAUGCCAGGAGCAUAAUGCUGUCUUCCUAGGAGACAUCAGAGGAGUAACUUGGAGUGAGACCCAGCUUGUCCCCCUGCUCCUUUUGCAAAACCUUCUCUCCAUUGGAGUCGAUUUGGAAUGUCAUGAUUGGGGAGCCCCAGGAAACAGUCUUGCAAUUAAGUUUAUUCACUGGAUGUAUCAGUGACCUGAAAGAAGUGUGCAGGAAGGUGCUAUAAAAAACCCCAAACACUUACAAGAUGGCACAAAGUCUGUGUCAGAGACAGACAGGAGGAGGAGUGGGCAGAUGGCAGUCAGUACAAAACAGGUGAAUAAUCAGAUUGAGAACAAGCUGAAUAGACUGUGCAAGUGAGUACGCUGUUUGCAUGCUGCUUGUGUUUUUGGUUUAGUUAACAUGAUGGGGACUUUUCCUGUUGUGAUCUAUGGAACAACGAGGUAAAAAUCUUGUAGCUGGAAGCAUAUAUAAUGGUGAAAGCAUGUCUGCCAUUGUCAGAGGGAACUUCUGGCAUGAGUAAAAAGAUCAGUACUUUCAGACCUAUCUGGACUGGAAAACCUUAAAAAAAACUGUUCAGUUUUAUAGACUUCACCUGCAAGUUUUUCAGAUCUAUCUUUGGCAUGCGUAACAUGGAAUAAUAUUAAAAUGAUCUAAAAAUGUUAGUGCCUGGAAAAUACGGAUGUGCUGUGUGACAAUAUAUGUUUGGUGGGUUUUUUUUAAAUGGUCUAGAAGGUAGCAAGACGUAUUUGUGAUAAUUUGUUUACAUAAUUCAUUUUAUCUAGUUUGUUUGAAAACUUUUUGGAUAGCUGUCUAGCCUAACUGUUCAUUGCCUGGCUUAGUGAUCUUUUCCAGAUUGAUGCUUGGAUGCACUAUUAGAGUGAUGAAGGUAAAGAACAAAGGGAUGGUUGUACUGAUGAAUGAUUGAUCCCUAGCACAAUGCUAAGGAUUAUUAAAAAAAAAAAAAAAAAAAAGGCCAGAAAUGGAAAAACUCCUCCCCCACUGAUUCAUGCUUCAAAAAGGUUAUAAUACCAAUUUAUAAUAAUAAUAAGGUGUACAUGGAAGAGAGUAUAUUGAGAUCCUGUUGAUCAGCCUGUUGGUAACUUCAUCAACACACUAGCAAUCUCAGUCUUUCCUGUUUAUAUUUGUUUCAAAAUGUUCCUACUUUUUCUUUUUUAGGGAGUUCCAUAAGUUACAACAGCAAUGAACUGGUCUAACUGGAGAAUGCCCUACUACCCAAUAAAGAGGCAUUGCUUUGUCUGAGCAGGCACUUAAUGAGAAGAAGCACAACCCACCCUGCAGUUUAAAAUUUAUGUAGUACAGAUAAGUUUUCUGUGCCUGAAGUUACCCUUCAGUAAUAUCGGUUUGCUCCUUGUAUACUGUUGUCUUAGGAUGCCUCAGUCUGAACAACACCAGUAAAGAGUUCUAACAGCACAAGAAGGUUGAGGGAAUUAGGUCUAUACUUCUGCAGAAAUGAAGGUUAGACAGAUAAAGGAAAAAAGAUUAAAAUAUUCACAAGAAGUGCCCCAGAUAAGAUUGUUUCAUGUCUGAGGGCAUGUUGAAUCCUGUGGGAAUGAGGAAGCUAAACUACUAAAAGGCUGUUUAAUUCUUGUGUUUCACACUGAAUCAACACAAUGUUAGAUAUCAAAGUGGUAUUAGCGGAAUUUGUAAGAACAUGGACAUUUUAUAUAAAGAAUAUAGAAAUAAAAUAAGUUAGUCCAAAACAAAUCUUUCACUGUGUCAGAGCUGUGUACAGAAUGAACGUUGGAGACUUAACAUGAGUAUAAUAAAUCAAAAUGUCAGAUGAGCCUCAGAGGACUUUCUUCAUUCACUUCAUUGUUUUCUCCGCAGAUACAGCAUGGUUCAGCCAAAUACAGGGUCGUCAUUCUUCUGAUGUUCAAAGUGUUCAUAAGUGUUCCUGAAGACUGAGCUCUUCUCUAUGCAUUAUCUUAAACUGCUCAGUUCAUCAUUUGGAGUGUUCAGUGCACUGGCUGAGUACUUCUAUAUGCAGAAAUCACAGUGUGAGUUCGUAGUUUUGGGUGACUGGUGAGGUGUGUUGUGUACUGUUGAUAACCUACAGAAAAAGCUCAAAUUUGUGCCUUCUGGAAAGUACUGUUUCCCAAAGCUGAUGCUUGGCAACAGAAGAUGCCCUGCUGACCCUCUGCUGCUUGGCAGAAAAUGCUCCUAAUGCAUGCACUUCCUAAGCAUAUAUCCCAGAGUACAUACUGCUUGGGGCUUCUGGCACAGGGUAUUUUUUCUUAACUUUCACUAAACUGUCUCCUUUCCCCAUAUCCUCAGCAGUACCAGACAAACGGAAUAGUAAAAUAGAGGACAGAGUUAUUUAGUAAGAUAGAAAUUGGAAACGAAAGGGUAAAACUAGAACAGUCUGCAAACUCUGUUCUGGUUUAAGCAAAUGGUCACCUGUCUAGCUGUUUAGCUGCUGUUAGCUAGAAUUUCUAAUGCAUGUCUCAGCUGUUGGACCCCGAGAGUCAGUACUCAUAGCAAUAGUCUUGCUAGGCUAAUCAGUGUUAGCUUUGAUGAAGUAUUUAAAGUUGAAAUUGCUGUGAGUUUUCCAUCAUGUCUUCCUUUCUUUUGCCUCAUCCUUACUAGCAUUGUGGCUGGGGGCAUGAAAGUUGUGUGUUGUUUGUGGCUCUUCCUAGAGAUGGGCACCUUUGUGCUUAAAGACUGUUGCUUUUUGUUUUUAUCCAUGUUCGUUCUGCUGGCUGACUGGUCCAUAUUUGAUAGGCAUCAUUAUUUUAACUUAACAUUUUUACAACAUACUCAUAUGCUUAGUGUAAUGUGUAUUGUUAAUCAUGUUUUCUGAGGGUAUCUUUAGCUUUUUAGAGAGACCACGUGAUAUAUUAUCAUCACUGCUGAUAAACUUGGUAACUAAAUGAUCUGAUUAUGUAUGGAUCGUGCUUGUAAAUAAAUAUUCUUUCUCAGCAUUGCUCCUCAAUCUACUUCUUUUGGAGUUUUGCUCAUCUUUAAAUUAUUGUUCAGAAAACUUAAUCAGUAAAACUUUAACUUAAGAGUAAUCAAUAUUGCCCGUGCUUCUAGAAGGAUAAGUAAACACAUUUUUUCCAUCAAAUUAGGUUAAGACAAGAAAUAGUACUGCUAACUAAUUUUUAAUAUUAGUUUGACAGGUGUGUACUUUAUCCCAGUAAGACAAAGGCAGUGUUUUCAGCAAUGUUUUUCUUGAUGGUGGUUCUAUGAGCCUAACUCUCUGACCUCCCUGUAGGUCAAGGACAUCUUUUUCACAGCCCUUUGCUGUGGGAUAACUAAGCUGUCUGCUGACAGGAUGAGGCACUUUGAGGUCACUGGAACACUGGGAAUGUUCUGGUAUCAGGGAAGCUAGGUCUUCUGCAACCUGUCCCUUAUCUGUUCUGAAUAUAUCAAGGGAGUAUUUCAAGGAAAUAUCAAGGAAAAUUAAGGUGACUUCUAGAGCUUUAUGAAGAUUGGUAUGCUGUAUCUCUAGCCUUUAUAGCAGAAAAUAAAAAUAUAAUACUAAACAGGGCUUGCCAUGUUCAAAACUUGAAUCAGCUGUGAUAUAAGAUGGAUUCUUUAACAAGGAAACUAGUGAUGUUUUCUUUGCUUAAAAUACACAUCUAUCUAUUUUGACUCUUUCCUCUGAUUUUUUUCAAUUACUCUGUAACUUGAAAAAUGAGUUGCCACAUCUGAUCCAAUGCUUCUAAUAUUAUUAAUUACAAAAUAAAUGUAGUUGUUGAUAUCCACAGAUAUUAUGUGAUUAGGCAUGAUUGUCUGGUCUUGUAUUCUUCGUUUGAUUUCAGCCUGUAUGAUUGCUUUGAGUUCAAAAGCCUUAUCAAAAUUUUACAAUGAGUUUUUUCCACUUUGAAUACGGUGAUUAAAUGACUUGUCUUGAUAAACACACUAGCUGGAUCAGGAACUGCUAAGCUGGUGGUUCAGUUAAAAGUCAGGUUAUGCCAAAUAUUAACUAGAAGCAGUAAAAUCUCAGGAAAGUGAAAUGAAUCUAUGUAGUUAACAUUCCUUGGUUCUAACAAACUGAUUGAAGCUGUAUGUUAAUGUGAAGUUGUGUACUACAGUAUCAGGGAGUAGUACUGGUUUAUUUGUUGCUCUUUCUUACACAACACAAAUUUUCAUGUGAAGUUCCUUGUUGUUGUGGUUAAUGAUACCUGUCUUCUUGCUUACAUGUAAAUUAAGAAACAAGACCUUUAUUUACACAGCUUGAAUUGCUGUUACGCAUAGUAUUACUUUUAAAUUUCUCCUAAGAAUACCAGGCAUCCCAAUAAAACCAAACCUCUGCUGCAGUUCUCAAAGAUUAUUAAUCGUUAAUUAUUUUUCUUUUUGUGAAAAGGGGGAUGUUUUUCCUAAGUCACCUGCUUUAAAUGAAAAGGUGAAUACUGGUUUUCUGUCAAUUUACUGGUACACUACAAAUCUACUAUUGCAGAAUUUUCCUUAAUAGUUUAGCCCAUUUAUAAUAUGCUGUUAACUUGAAUUAUGUGGGUGUCUGCUUCAGUCAUUCCUUCACACGCUGUAGAGUCAAGUUAUUUUAGCUGUGAGGUUAAUCUUUGCACAUAUAGGACUUUCAGCUCAUUGGAGACUGAAGCACUGUGUUUAUUGGUAACUCUGUGAUGUUUCCUGUCUUUUAAGUUGGAGAAUAAUUAGUUUGAGGUGUUCUACUUUUAAAUAGUAUUGUAGUUAAGUUGGAAUUUGAAAGAUUAAAUGUGAGAUUGCAUUUGCAUACAGAGCUUGACAAAUAUCGUCAACUAUGAUACUCUAUUGCAUUAAAGUGGAGCCUAAGGCAGCUGCCUUUUUGUGGCCUUGUGGAAGGGCGGUAAGUUUUGGUCUGUUGUUGGUGCUUCAGUUUAUUUUAUACAAUGACUGGAAGCCUGUAUUUGCAGCAUUUCCUUAAGUGUACCGUCACUGGUCCCGUUGUACAGCUUAAUUUUUAUUUAACUAUUUUCACAGUACGUAUUUGUUCUAGAAGUGCCAUGGCUGAUGCUUAUUAUUCUAGUACAAGUUACAUUUUAAUUCUUCAUGUUGAAAGAAGAUUACAGACUGCACAUGAAAUUGAUUUUUUUAAUUUUUUUUUUUUAAUUGAAUUGAUUCUUUAGAAGAAUUUCUUGAUGUUUCUACAAGAUUUCUGUUGAGCUACUAUGGUCUCCACUGACUUCUGCUUGAAAUACAACAGUUCUGCAAAACUGACUUGAGAAUUUGCUGUUGGUCACUCAAAUAAAGAAGUAGUGGGUGUCUGUAAAAAGUGCUUUCAGUAACUUGUCUCAGACUUGCAGGUAAACAACGUAGGAGAGGUUGAAGAAAAUAGCUGAUUUACAAGUUAAGUCAGUCUCCAAGCACCUUGAGAGUUUUCUUCAGUUACCUAUCCUGGUUUCUUUGGAUUAUAAAAAAACAAUUGAAACAGAUGAUAGCUGUUGUGGAAAGCUGAAUGAAGAUAUAUUUCAGUGCUUUCAACAGGUGAAAUAAGUCUUAAGGACUGCAGCAUCCUUGCUUUUCAAAACGCUUUCAGGGAACACCAUCUGGUUUAUGAAGUGAGUAUGGCAGGAUUCCUAUGAAGAGCCACACGUUUGCUUAUUUUGUAUUUUUGUAAACACAUUAUUUUUCAUAUGUAAAUGUGGUGAAAUGAGGUGGGCACCGUUUGUUGGUUUGGGGUUUUUUUGGCUCAUUUGUUUUGGGGAGAUGCCUGGCUUUAAUGAUAUUUUAUUUUGGGCUCUAGUAAAGUUCACUUUAAAAUCCUGAUAAAAUCAAAUUCAUGUAGAAACUCCAGCCUUAAUGAUGUUUUUGUGUGGGAGCUCCACUUUUGGGCUUGGCUUGCAUCUCUCAUGCAAACUUUUCUGCAGAGCUGUACCCUUGACCUAAUGAAGUAAAUAAUGUUCAUGUGUUAGUAGAUGGCCAGCCAUCAAAGGAGGAUUGAACCACAUCCUUGAUUAGAGGUUUUCUCAAAUGUUGCGAAUACUAAUAUUCCUGAAAAAAUGUAUUAUACUACCAAGUUCUUCAGGGGAGGUUUUGCCUUGGGUGCUUUAGAUGCUACCGACUACUUGGAAAUAUUUUUGUUUAUUCUUGCAUUCUUUUGGUUUGUCUUUGCCUCUUCAAGGUCAGGAUGUUUUCUGGACUAAUCUGUACUGUCCACAUACCAGCAGGUGGAGCAUUGGUAAUGUAAGACAGACUUCUAACUCCCUCCAGCAUUUAGGAAAAGUGAUUGCCCUGUAAGUCCUGCUCAGUUGAUUUCCGUGGAGGUGGAGUCUGCUGACUGUUUGGCAUAGAAGUCUGUGGGAACAGCUCCAUGUUAACAUGCAGUGUUAACAAAAAAUGCCAAAGGAUGGCUUUCAGAUUUGCAGUUGGGGUGAACUUUGAUGCACAGAGUGAAAGGCAACUUGGUGUUCCUCUGCUGGUUUGGGUGGUUUUUUUUUUUUUUUCAAAUGUCAGUUUCCUGUUGCAAGGAAUGGAAGUAUUGAAGCUACAUCUAAAUGGUUGUAAAGUUGAUGCUACCUUUAAGGGAGCAUGAUUUUGCCAAAUUAAUUUUUGUUGUUGUUUACUGUGUCUGUGACAUACACAGCUUGCUCAUGUUACUGUUCCCUACUCAAAAUGUUGAUAUCGGAGGUCGUAAGAAUUGCUGUCUUUUUUCUUGCGGGGGGGGUGUGGGUAGGGAAAGGUUCCUGUUGUGGUUAAACAAUUCACCUGUAUGGAUUUAGCACUCUAUUACCACCAAAAGAGGCAGUCCUGCCCUACACAGUACCUUCUUCCUGUCGGUGCUAAGGAUUGUACUGCCAUCCAUUAACUGAGAUCAGCAACCUUACUCUAGCAGAAAACUGAUCUUUUUUUUUUUUUUUUUUUUUUUUUCCAGGAUUAGUUUGCAGCUAAUAUAGUGGUAACUUGCAUCAUGAAAUCAUAAAAUUCCUGUAACAGUGGAGGAAGCAGGAAUCCCUCAGCAGGAAGGCAGAGAGAGCAGGACUACUCUUCUGCCACAGUGCUCUUACCAAGUUCAAUUUAAACCAUCCUGAAAGUGCACCACUAGUCAGGCUCUGUGGCGUUGGAGGAUCUUCUGAAUCUUACACUUAAAGAUGCCUUUAAAAAGGAAGAGCUCAUUUUCUACAGACAGCUUUGUCAUCUUGGACCAGAGAUAUUGGUUACCUUGAAAGAAGAAGAGGCAGACUAUGGGCCCAUAUUAGAAAUUGGAAGACUUCAGGAUAACAUGGAGGCAUGUCAUGUAGAGUGUUGACACCUGAAGAACUGUUCCUAGGCAGGUGAUCCUACAUUGCUGUUGGAAAAUGACAAAUAGGUAAAUUUCCUGUGUUACAAGGACUUUAUGUAGUCUUAAAGACUUGCAUUGUUCUGUACAUGUGGAGUUAGGAGGGGAUUUCACACUGCAAAGAAUGGUAUCUUUAUUGCUGUUCUUAAGAAAAACCAUUAAAGGCAUUAACAGAAGCCAGCAGUCAAUAUUCUUCAGUUUUUGAUGACAUUAGAAUAAAUCCUGUUUGUUUUCAGUGCUUUUAAGCUUUACGAAAAUGAGGGCAGUGGCUUUAGUGAAAGCUGGAGUAUGCUGUCUACUCUUAUUUGUUUAAAAAAAAAGAAAGUGUUGGGGAGAAUAGUUGAAGAUGCUUCUUAAUAAAUACACAGCUUCAAUUUUGAUUGAACUUUUAUAAAAGUUGCAUCUUUCAAGCAUGUAGUUGUACAAAAUGGUCUGGAACGCCUCUACCUUUUUUAACACCACAUUUGGAAAUGAAAAUUUCAACUCCUUUUAUACAAAUAUAAUCACUUUGUAAGAUGCUGUGUAAGUAUUUGUAAUUGACAGCUGAGUUUGAUAAAGCAGCAAGAGACUUAAUUGUCACGUAUAUGGACUGUUUUGUGAUGAUUUACAUGUUAAAACAAAAGGAGGUUGUGGGGAGUUUGUUCUUUUUGGGCAGGUGACAUUGUAGUAACCUUCAUUAUUCCUUAAGAAGUAAGUGUUAAGGGAAAGAAGUGUAAGAAAUGGUUCACUGCAACUUAAUGCUCAGCAGCCUAAUUAGUCAAAUACCAUGUGCCUACCUCUGCAUGAAAUAGUCUAUUUCUUUCCACUGUAAAAUAGGAAUUUUCAGUUUUGGAACAGCCUGAAGAGGCCUUUGUUGCAAAUGACCACUGGCUUUUUAACUAUUUAUUCUCAAAAAUAAUGAAGGUCAGCAUGGUAUCCAUAGUGACUGCAUGCAGCUUCCUCGUUAAUCUUGGCAUACUGCUGUAAUAACUAAAUUGACUUACUUCUAAGUGUUCAUGUUUCCAGAGGAAACCUUUAUUUGAAAAUUGGAUGUGAUUGGGUUUCUGUAACAGAAAUCUUGAUUGUUGUUGGUUUUUUUCACUUUUAAACUCUGUCAUAAGUUCUUUUUUUUAUGAGUUGCUGUGGAGGCCUAAACAGAACCCCCCAGAACAAGCGACCUUAAUUGCUGAAGUCUACAUAUAAUCUGGAAGUAGAAAACUUUUUACUUGCAAAUUUCUUUUCUUGCUGAAGGGAUAAAGACUGCUAAAUGGGAAUAUAUCAGUCUGCUUUCAGCUCUGUUAGUAAAAGGAAGACAUUCCACUAUAAACUACAAAAUUAAAGCAUAUAAGUAUUAUGUGAAUAUGAUCAAGCCAGAAUUCUAUGGUUUUAAAAAAAAAAACAACCCUGCCGAUAGCAGUUUCAGACCCU